UCUGGUUUGGUCCUGCGUGACGUCUCUGCCCUCACGCCAAUGGCGAUCGUGCCAGAGGUGGUAUCUGAGAAAGCAAGACCCACUUUUGUUUGCAUGGCUCUGUCCAUUGGGGAGUGCUGAUUGUGUUUAUGUAGUUAUAGGCCAG
ensembl:miRNA